rnacentral:lncRNA from 1 species
UAAAGUUCAAAUUGCUAUUAUCAUCAAUCAAUAAGAUCAUUGUUCGAAUUUACACAGUAUUGAGGCAUUCACUGACCACAAUUACAGUAAUUAGCAACAAACAUGAAAAUUAAGACUUGAUGGUACAGAGCAAAAACUCAGAUCAAAUAAUACUGGGAGCUGAAAAUGUACAACCAAAAACAGUACAACACCAUAUGAAUUUGAUCAUAGCUAUUCUAUUUGUCUUGCCUAUGCUCUCUUGUCACCGGUUGCAUACGACAGCUCUAUUGGCUCAAUAGAUUUCCCAGCAUCUGAUAGGAAAUCAUACUUGAGGAAACUAAGUUACUUGUAUUUUGAAGGCAAAACACCAAGAAAGUCUCAGCUGAUCUUAGGCUUGGCUCUUCUAGGCUUUAGCACAAGCCAAAGAACAAAGAAAACAACUAGGAAAGCAGGUAUCAUAUAUUGUCAUGUCAAACUCGACUUUAACAUUCCUCUGCCGGAUGCAAUAUUUUAAUGGAGACUGUCUAGAGUUGUAUCAAUAUAAUUUACGAACCUGCAUAAUAGACAAGAUCAUUUUAGCAAACAAGUUGAGAGAAACACGUGUUGAGUGAAAAGUGAAGACACUUUUGCAUGCCAAAUUAAUGUUGCUUAAUGCUUGCUAAGCAUCGUCCUCGAUAAAAUAUCAUAUAAACGUGUGACUCCCAUAUGCAGUAAAUCAAGGUAUUCUACUAUGUACUAUCUCAAAUUGGUUACACAUGUAAGUGCAAGACUAACAAUAAGGAUGUCAUCACUCAUCAGGUAGGGGUAAGUGUAGUGCAGCACAUCAGUGAUUGUCACACAACAAACGAAAGAUGCUAACCCUUUUACCGCAUCCUCUAAGGUAUGGACAAGUCUCAAGGCAUCCACAUAACACAGUUCCCCACUGACAGUUGAAAUCUGGAAGGGAUCCAUAACAUGAAAUAAAUUGGCUAGAAGGUUUCAUAAACAGGCUAAAUUUAAGACAACGAGAGCCAACAAGAUCAAACUAUUUCUGGAAAAUAUCGUUUUAACUUAUGCAGCAAAUGCAGAUCAAUGAGAUUGAAAUAAGAACAAAUCCUUCCAUACAGAGGCAGAGCCAAAAUUUAAAUCUUUUGGGUUCUGAGCUGAACUUGUCAUUAAAUCCAUAUCUAGUCUUGUUUACUAGGUUCACAAUUAGAUAUUCAUACAACUUUAAUGAAAUUUGUAAUACAAAUGCAAGAUCUAAACAAUUGUUGUUGGGUUCGUCUGAACCCAUAAGUAAUGAUCUAGCUCCACCUCCGAUUCCAUAGAGCUUGGAAUGAUAGAGCACCAAGUGCUAUUUAUCUUGCAAAAAAAUUGAGCAAAAGGUAUUUGGCAAAACAUUGUAAAAACUGUAAAUCACGAACUCUUCCCCACAAGCUAACAACAUAACUGUAUUUGUUCAUUAGCUCACGCUCAUGGGUUUUGAAGCGCUUAAAAGUCUGUUCUGCUUUCGAAGAUUAAGUAUCCAUAAAGAGAAACUCUAUUAAAUGGGCAAUUACGAAAAACAACUUAUAUGUAAAAACGUCAUCAACUUUUUCUGACUGGUAAGAACAUCAGCAACUUACUUAGGAAGAAAGCUUUUUAAAGCUAGUUGUCCGUUGUUCAAACCAACAAAAGAUCACUCAAUAUUUUAUGCACAAUUGACUUGCAGAGAAUAUUGUAUUAUGCAGAAGAAGUGAUAAAACCUAUUAACAC